CAGCUGAUGCAGCUCAGCCCUGCUCCCCACACUGUUUUCAGAAUGGGAGGGGUGGAAGGGGGUGGAGGGAGCUUGUUCUGUGGGUUGCCCAGCCGGUGCUCGAGGGUAAGCUGGGUGGAUUGGAGACCCCCAAGGUGGCUGGGGCAACCCCAGAACAAACCUCCUUCCCUUGCCUUCUCCCCCUCCCAUCCUGAGAAAGAAUGGAAGCUGGGAAAGGGGGGCAGAGCCAGGGAAGAGACUGCCUCUCUCUCUCUGAAUCGGCUCCAAAGUAGAGCUUAAUCACCUACAUUCCUGAUCGAACAGCAAACAUCUUUUGGGUCAGGAAGAUUGUUCUUACUUAUGACACUUCCUGUGUAGUGCCAUGAGUUAAUGCCGGGACCUGCACUUCUGUCUGUGCCUUUUAUUGCACUACUGCUCACAGCUGUAUUCACCACUCUGUAAAAAUGAAUUCACACUUGUCUAGAAUGCUAUGAAGGUUAUUCUUGCUGAGUACUUGUCCAGCCACAAGAAUGCAAUUAACAAAGGAAAUGGUUAAAAGAGAAUGCAACUACCUACCGAAGAGGCCGUCAGUCUCUACAAAAUUAGAGGAACAUCUUUGAAGCUCAGGAGUCUCUGCUACUGUCCUUGGGCACACCACCCUCUUGUAAGCCAUGCUAAAAUGAUCAUUUCAAAAAUUAGAUGACUACCCAUUGUUCACCUGGAGAUGGAGUGUAUCACCUGACGCAACUUAACGUCAGAUCACAAGGCAGAAAGCAAAUUUAAAGCAGAAUGCAUUGGCAGCAUCAGCUAAACAGCACCAUGAAAAUCAUAAAGCAUCACAUGCAUGGGCAUAAUGUAAAUCUACAUUUGCCUCCAAUGAAGUGCUGCGUAAAAGGGAAUAAGAGUUGUGAUUAACCGGCAGAUAUCCUAUACCAAGAUUUUAGAAGCUUCACUCUCCUACCUUCCCAACCUGCAUGCUCAUGCAGCUGGAUAACUGGUUAUAUGAGAUUUCCUGACUGGGCACAUAUGGACAGUCCCUGAUCCUCAGCUGGUGAAAAUCCAAUCCACUGAAGCUAGAGAGGAUACACUGAUUUACACCAGCAGGUGAUCUGACCCAAUGACAAUCAUAACAUUGUUUUAAACUGUAUGUCUCAAUUUAUAAUUGAGUUAUUGCUUUAACUAGUACAUAAAAAUACAAGCUUACACUCUGGA